rnacentral:lncRNA from 1 species
UAAUUAAAGAUAAUAAAAUAUACUGCAAUGAAUCCGGCUACUAUACUACUGAUAGUACCAAGUUUUUGAUAUUAUCGAAUAUUUUGCUGUUAAAUCUACUCCUUGAUCAUUUCCACCGUUAGAUCACAUUAUUCAACCAAUCACUCAUUCAACCCUAAGGGACCACUAUCAUUCUAACCUCACAUCAUUUUAUCCAACUGCCGAAAACUCGAUAGCACCAAUCGUUUGGUGCUAUCGAGAGUAUAGUAAU